ACUGAUUUCGUUGCAUGUUGUGUUUUUUCUUCUUCAGUGUAAAUAAAUUGUAUUGUACCUCUUCUAUGAGCUGAAUGAAACAUUCAUGGAAUGUACAAUUUAUUAUAUUCUUACUAGGCUAACGUUACACAGCAUUUUUCCUUAACUGGUCUUUUUUAAGCUAUGUUUUAGCCAGGUCAGGAGCCCUUUGUGAGCAGCAGGAGCCCUAGGCUGAGCCACUGUAGAGAAAAUAAUCAAUGGUGUGCAGAGUUGUCACACCGCCUUGUGCACACUGGAUGAACUCAACGUUACUCAGCACACAACGGCUGCACAUUUAUGGCGUUUGUGAGGGUGAGGAACUGUGGAGACUUCUGCCAGGCACAGCACCAGCACCUGGUCAUUGUGGACAAAUUUUGGAGUAUUUUUCUCUACUGCUGGACUGUUCACCCUCUCCUGGAAGACUGCCUUCUCCAACUGUCUGUCAAGAUGAAUCGCCCCGCCCCUGUUGAGUUCACCUAUGCGUGUAUGAAGUUUCUGAUCACCCACAACCCCACCAACUCCCAGCUGGUGAAAUUUAUAGAGGUACAGUAUUAACUCCUAUAAUACAUAUCCCCAUAUGCUUUGUAUUCACAUGAAGCAUUGUGUUAUUUGAGUUUAUAGCGUUUUCUUUUGUCAAGCCAGAUUGGAAUGUACUGAAAAACAGACAAUAUCUUGAUUACUAACCUAAAACACUUCAAUUCAUUUAUAAUCAGGACCUCAAUGCUUUUGGUGUGCAGACACUAGUUAGAGUAUGUAAUGCCACUUACGACCAAACCCCUGUGGAGCAGGAAGGCAUCACUGUUGUGGUAAGACAACUUUUGUUCUCUUCUGCCAUGAUGUUAACCCAUCAGAGACCUUCAGAUUUGUUUGGAGCUUCAGGCAUUCUGGUUCCAAUUGUCCACUGUAUCUACAUGACAUCUAGGUCUAUCUUUUUCCUAAUGAUGGAGGUUGCAUGAAAGCGUUAGGCCUAUCAAUUACGCUACCUAAUAAAUUGAUCCAUUAAUGGAGCCUAAAUCCAACCAUAUGUUUUCCUCAAACAGGAUUGGCCCUUUGAUGAUGGUUCUUCCCCCACCUGAACAUGUCGUUGAUGACUGGUUCAACCUCCUCAAGUGUAAAUUCCGAGACGAACCCGGUUGUUGCAUUGCAGUGCAUUGUAUUGUGUGGCGGGGUU